rnacentral:rRNA from 1 species
AUGUCUCUCUGAAAAAGUAGUAUAGGGAGUCUGGCCUGCCCGGUGACAUAGUUUAACGGCUGCAGUAUCCUGACUGUGCAAAGGUAGCAUAAUAACUUGCCUUUUAAUUGGAGGAUGGAAUCAAUGGCUUGACGAGAGCAAAGCUGUCUUUUUUGUUUUUGUUAGAAUUUAUUUUUUAAGUUAAAAAGCUUAAAUAUAACUAAAAGACGAUAAGACCCUAUUGAGCUUUAAAGAAAUAAAAUGGUUAUUCAUUAUUAAUAAGAUUGGUAACAAUUUUAAAAAAUUUUGGUUGGGGCGACCGCGGAGUAUAAAAAACCUCCGGACUAGAAAAUUAAUUUCUAUUUUUGAUCCACGAUUUGUGACAAGUGGAAUCAGUUACCAUAGGGAUAACAGCGCACUGCUUUUAGGGAGAUCGUAUUUCUAAGAGAGAUCGCGACCUCGAUGUUGGAUUAAGGUAUACUAGAGGGCGCAGAAGCUUUUUAAGUUAGUCUGUUCGACUAUUAAACCCUU